GCAGUUUUAUAAAGGUUGUGAGGAUCAGGAAUUAAACAUACUGAAUCUAAUACGAGCAAGAUAUGGCGGUCUUUAAUGGUGUUCGGCUGGUGUCUCUGGCUGUGCUGGUGUUGGUGUCUCAGCUGGACUCUGCCAGCGCUGCUGUUCGGGUGUUUGGUUUAAGUGCCAGAGGCCUCACCGGUGACGGUUUUGAAAACUUUCUCGAUCCAUACCUCAAGGUCAGGUGUGGAUCUUCUUUUGGGCAGACAGAAAGUCUCGAUGAUGACAAUAAUCCUACAUGGUCUGUAGAGUUCAACUUCCCAAACUGCAAACGAUAUGACGUUCUGGAGGUGGAGUUGUGGGACAAAGACGUGUUUUAUGAUGAACACUUAGCCACAUGUUCUGAAAAGGUGUUGUUUAAUAGGGGUGAAUCCAUUGUUUGUGGUCAGGGCCCCGGAGGAACCCUGUUUUUCCAUUACGAGUUGAAUCAAUAAACCUUUUCCAAACAGCUUUGAAACACACUGUAACUAGCCUGAUUGGAAUAAAGUUUAGCAAUAUAACGUGUAUGUUUUGCAUUAAGAUGUUCAUUAAAAUCUACAGCUAACAUACUUUUCUUCUUUAGUGAAAUGCUUUUACAAACAGCAACAUAAAAAUACAAAUGAAAGUCAUAAAUCAAGGUUGUCUCUGCUUCUCAGUUCACACUGAAUCUAGUUUUAAUUUGUGCACUUUAUUAAAUAUAGUGCACCAUAUAGCCCUGCUUCUCCUCUCACAGAUUGAUGCAAGUGAUAAAUUCCCCAUAACCAUCACUGCACACCAACUCUUUUCAUACUUGUAAACAUGAAUAUUUUACUCUACAUUUGAUGCUAUAGAAAGUGUACAUCAAAUGUUCAUAAUUGAUGAGCAAGAGACCUUUUACGGAAAUUUGAAUGAUCCCUGCAAUUGUUCUAAAUAGGCAAUAAAAAAUAAAACAAUUGAUCGCUCAUGAAUCAUUUCAUUAUUGAUCCAGUUUAUUUACAGUGAGUUCAGCUCUCCUGUCGAAUCUAAGACAGAUUUUACAUGACGAUGAAUAUUUUGUCACGAAAUGCAAAACAAAGACAUAUCAUGACACGGAUGAUGAUGUUUAACUUAGCCUACAAAAAAAGAUAUAUUCUAGAAGUAGGUUGUAAGACCUCUGUCUAAGGAAUGUCAUAAGAACCUGUAUACUGUAUUGAUUGUAUCUAGAAACCAAGGAUCUAAUAUUGCCUUUUCCCAACUGUCCAGGCGGGAGCCGUCGACUCUGAGAUUGCUAUGCUAUGGAUUCCCUGGGGUUUGAAACUCCAGGGUUCUGAACGAGGA